rnacentral:sRNA from 1 species
AAUGAUGGACAUGAUAUAAUGAAACAACAUUGUGGAGAGGAAAGCAUUAGGGGAGCCCACGGCUACAAAACAAGUGAGAAGAGGUGGGAGAAAGAGAAACUACGCCACCUCCUCUGCAGCCGAGCGCACGCAGCAGCCUGGCGUGACAAGUGGGCGACGCCAGGGACAGAGAGUGGGGGUCCUCCGCCCGCUCCGGGGACCCUGUCGCCCACCGUGGUGCGCUGAGCAACUUUUAGCCGGCAGCCCCGCACCUGUCUCAGAGUCCCCAUCGCUCCCCACCAACCAUCAUGGGAAAAUUCUAGAAGAAUACGCUCUCGGAAUCUACGUGCGCAUCAUUUUCCUCCUCACUCCAGAGGAAGGAACCAGAAAAGAGAGCAAAGCGGUGUAGUGUUCAGCCUCAAGGCUGCACAGAUACCUGACUCUGGGCUCUCAGGAAGACUCAGGCAGAGAUGGGGAGUCGGCCUGCAAGCUGGGACGCUAGAGCUCACGUGCAGUUCUCCAUUUAGCUAGGAGGUUUCCAGGGCAACCACCGAAGCAGUAAUUAAAGAUGAAGAGCUAAAAGAGAGAAGAAUAGCAGCAACCUGGUCUCUUUUCACGGAACACAGUAAGCCACCAAAGAGGUGUGGACAGCCAGCGACCUCCACGGAAAUCAUAAGGGC